CUUUCUCCAGUGGUGACGCAGUUCUGUUCUCCGUGUUGAAGGCAGAGUCCUGUAAAAUAUUAUAAUCCUCUGGUUGAAGAAAUCUCUUGAACUCCGGUCUCUCGGGAGGUCGACUCUGACAGAUGAAGGGGGGAGGGGGACUCUCUCGGGCUCGCUCCACCUGUCACUCACUGCACGCCAUGACAGCACGAGGAGAGGAGAAAUGUCAGAGCAUUCAGAUCCUUACAGAUAAAAAAAACAGGAGAGAGGGUGAGAAGUUAAACCCUGAAGAGACAUGAGAAUGUUUAUUCAUGACAUCAUACGUUUCUUCAAACCAUGCUCAGAGCUCUGUUGAAGAGGAUGAAGAGACAGAGACCAGACUCUCCUGGACCCAGCUGUGUGUCCAUGAAGAGUGAUUGGUGUAUAAUGUGUAUCUUGGUUCAGAGCUUCAUAAUAUAUGACACAUUGUUUUCUUGUGUCACAGAGUUCAACAGGAGAGCUCCGAGGUUCACAGAGAUCAAUCAGACCAGCAGAAUCCAA